rnacentral:rRNA from 1 species
UACGAAGGGACCUAGCGUAGUUCGGAAUUACUGGGCUUAAAGAGUUCGUAGGUGGUUAAAAAAGUUGAUGGUGAAAUCCCAAGGCUCAACCUUGGAACUGCCAUCAAAACUUUUUAGCUAGAGUGUGAUAGAGGAAAGUGGAAUUUCUAGUGUAGAGGUGAAAUCCGUCGAUAUUAGAAAGAACAUCAAAAGCGAAGGCAACUUUCUGGAUCAUUACUGACACUGAGGAACGAAAGCAUGGGUAGCGAAGAGGAUUAGAUACCCUCGUAGUCCAUGCCGUAAACGAUGUGUGCUAGACGUUGGAAACUUAGUUUUCAGUGUCGCAGCGAAAGCAUUAAGCACACCGCCUGGGGAGUACGACCGCAAGGUUAAAACUCAAAUGAAUUGACGGGGACCCGCACAAGUAGUGGAGCAUGUGGUUUAAUUCGAAGAUACGCGCAGAACCUUACCAACACUUGACAUGUUCGUCGCGACUCUGAGAGAUCAGAGUUUUCGGUUCGGCCGGACGAAACACAGGUGCUGCAUGGCUGUCGUCAGCUCGUGUCGUGAGAUGUUGGGUUAAGUCCCGCAAUGAGCGCAACCCCUACCUUUAGUUGCCACCAUUAAGUUGGGCACUUUAAAGGAACUGCCAGUGAUAAGCUGGAGGAAGGUGGGGAUGACGUCAAGUCCUCAUGGCCCUUACGUGUUGGGCUACACACGUGCUACAAUGGCACUUACAGUGGGAAGCUAAGACGCGAGUCCAAGCUAAUCCCUAAAAUGUGCCUCAGUUCGGAUUGCACUCUGUAACUCGAGUGCAUGAAGCUGGAAUUACUAGUAAUCGCGGAUCAGCGCGCCGCGGUGAAUACGUUCCCGGGUCU